CUACGGGAGGCAGCAGUUAGGAAUAUUCUACAAUGCGCGCAAGCGUGAUAGAUUGAGUCAGAGUGCGCUUCAAUUUGGAGUGCUUUUGUGAAAUCUAAAAAGUUUCACGAAUAAGGACUGGGUAAGACGAGUGCCAGCCGCCGCGGUAAUACUCGCGGUCCAAGUCGCAGCCAUUUUUAUUGGGUCUAAAACAUCCGUAGCUUGCUUCUUAAGUUCCUUGUGAAAUUUUGUAUCUCAAAUACAGAGCGUGCAAGGAGUACUGGGAAGCUAGAGACUGGGAGACGUAAGAAGUACGUUCAAAGUAGCGGUUAAAUGUGUUAAUCUUGAACGGACUAACAACAGCGAAGGCAUCUUACGAGAACAGUUCUGACAGUCAGGGAUGAAGGCUAGGGGCGCAAAACGGAUUAGAUACCCCCGUAGUC
rnacentral:rRNA from 1 species